GCGAGAUGGAUGAGUGUGUGUGUGUGUGUGUGUGUGUGUGUGUGUGUGUGUGCUCGCGCGCGCGUGCGCGUGCACACACGUGCACGCAGACAC
rnacentral:miRNA from 1 species